rfam:Globicatella sp. HMSC072A10 Globicatella_spHMPREF2811-1.0_Cont461.1, whole genome shotgun sequence.
AACAGAGUAGAGAAAUUGCGUUAAGUGCUAACAGAUGGAAUGUUGCUGAUAGACGAAGAGUAUACUCGCGGUAAUUUCUCGCAUUCGCUGCU